CCUACGGGAGGCAGCAGUGAGGAAUAUUGGUCAAUGGGCGCGAGCCUGAACCAGCCAAGUCGCGUGAGGGAAGACGGUCCUAUGGAUUGUAAACCUCUUUUGUCGGGGAGCAAAAGACGCCACGCGUGGCGUUCCGCUAGUACCCGAAGAAAAAGCAUCGGCUAACUCCGUGCCAGCAGCCGCGGUAAUACGGAGGAUGCGAGCGUUUUCCGGAUUUAUUGGGUUUAAAGGGUGCGCAGGGGGAAGAUCAAGUCAGCGGUAAAAUUGUGGGGCGCAACCUCUUAGAGCCGUUGAAACUGGUUGUCUUGAGUGAGCGAGAAGUAUGCGGAAUGCGUGGUGUAGCGGUGAAAUGCAUAGAUAUCACGCAGAACUCCGAUUGCGAAGGCAGCAUACCGGCGCUCAACUGACGCUCAUGCACGAAAGUGUGGGUAUCGAACAGGAUUAGAUACCCGAGUAGUC
rnacentral:rRNA from 1 species